UAUAAUAGUCUGCAUUACCUGUGGUAGAAAUAUCUUGAUUUCCGUUUCUUAUGUUACAUAGUAUGUAUUGUAUCAUACAGAAUGCACUGGAACAUAUGGCCAAGACUGCAAACACUCGUGUAGUGACAGACACUGUGAAGACAAUGCACAGUGCGAUCACGUGACAGGAUCGUGCAAUGGACAGUGCGUUGCUGGUUGGCAAGGAGAUGCUUGCAGUGUCACUGCCAGUGAGUCUAAAAAUCCUGACUCUGGAAACGAUGUAUUACUUAUUGCUAGCAUUGCUGUUGCUGUUGUUGUCGUACUCGUCGUGGUCGUCAUCGUUGUGGUGUUUAUCAGAUGGAGGAGACGAAUACAGAAAGAGAAUUCUCACGAAACACUUGUUUUGG